AGGUAGCAUAAUUAUUAGUUUUUUAAUUGAAAGCUUGUAUGAAGGGUUGGACGAGAUAAAAUCUGUCUUUAUUUAAAUUAUUAUAGAAUUUAACUUUUAAGUCAAAAGGCUUAAAUGUAUGUAAAAGACGAGAAGACCCUAUAGAUCUUUAUUUAACUAAUAUUUUGAUAAUUUAGGAUUAUUUUAGUUUAAAGUUUUAGUUAAAUUUUAUUGGGGUAAUAUAAAGAUUAAAUAAAUUCUUUUUAUUUAUUACAUUGAUUUAUGAAUAUAUGAUCCGAUAUUAUUGAUUAUAAGAUUAAGUUACCUUAGGGAUAACAGCGUAAUUUUUUUGGAGAGCUCAUAUCGAUAAAAAAGUUUGCGACCUCGAUGUUGGAUUAAAAAUUAGCUUGGGUGCAGAAGCUCAAGAUUUUGGUCUGUUCGACCAUUAAAUUUUUACAUGAUCUGAGUUCAGACCGGCGUAAGCCAGGUCGGUUUCUAUCUUUACUUAUCUAAAAUAUUUUAGUACGAAAGGACCAAAUAUUUAAUAUAAUUAUAUUUAUUUUUUGAAUAAUAUU
rnacentral:rRNA from 1 species